UUAUGCGUCACGUUUUCUUAAAAAAUGCGAUGGAAUAUUGUCACGUAAUUACUUCGCUUCAUAACGUUCCCAUGGCAAAAGGGGGAAACGGCUGCUCUUGUGUGAAGUAAACACAACAUUUUUCAACUUUUAGCUGUGUGACUGUGUGACUUUUUUGCAAAGAAAAUGCGG